rnacentral:rRNA from 1 species
AGGGGGCUAGCGUUGUUCGGAUUUACUGGGCGUAAAGCGCACGUAGGCGGAUUGGUCAGUUAGGGGUGAAAUCCCGGAGCUCAACUCCGGAACUGCCUUUAAUACUGCCAGUCUAGAGUCCGAGAGAGGUGAGUGGAACUCCUAGUGUAGAGGUGGAAUUCGUAGAUAUUAGGAAGAACACCAGUGGCGAAGGCGGCUCACUGGCUCGGUACUGACGCUGAGGUGCGAAAGCGUGGGGAGCAA